CCUACGGGUGGCAGCAGUGGGGAAUAUUGGACAAUGGGCGAAAGCCUGAUCCAGCCAUGCCGCGUGUGUGAAGAAGGCCUUCGGGUUGUAAAGCACUUUCAGUGGGGAAGAAAGCCUUGGGGCUAAUACCCUCGAGGAAGGACAUCACCCACAGAAGAAGCACCGGCUAACUCCGUGCCAGCAGCCGCGGUAAUACGGAGGGUGCGAGCGUUAAUCGGAAUUACUGGGCGUAAAGCGCGCGUAGGCGGUCUGAUAAGCCGGUUGUGAAAGCCCCGGGCUCAACCUGGGAACGGCAUCCGGAACUGUCAGGGUAGAGUGCAGGAGAGGAAGGUAGAAUUCCCGGUGUAGCGGUGAAAUGCGUAGAGAUCGGGAGGAAUACCAGUGGCGAAGGCGGCCUUCUGGACUGACACUGACGCUGAGGUGCGAAAGCGUGGGUAGCAAACAGGAUUAGAUACCUAGUAGUC
rnacentral:rRNA from 1 species